UACAGAGGGUGCGAGCGUUGUUCGGAAUUAUUGGGCGUAAAGGGCGCGUAGGCGGCGCCACAAGUCACCUGUGAAAACUCUGGCUCAACCCAGAGCCUGCAGGCGAAACUGUGGUGCUGGAGUAUGGGAGAGGUGCGUGGAAUUCCGGUGUAGCGGUGAAAUGCGUAGAUAGUCGGAGGAACACCUGUGGCGAAAGCGGCGCACUGGACCAUAACUGAUGGCUGAAGGCGCGAAAGCUAGGGGAGCAAACAGG
rnacentral:rRNA from 1 species